rnacentral:rRNA from 1 species
UACAGAGGUCUCAAGCGUUGUUCGGAUUCAUUGGGCGUAAAGGGUGCGUAGGUGGCGCCAUAAGUCAGGUGUGAAAUCUCGGGGCUUAACUCCGAAACUGCAUUUGAUACUGUGGUGCUUGAGGACUGGAGAGGUGACUGGAAUUCACGGUGUAGCAGUGAAAUGCGUAGAUAUUGGGAAGAACACCGGUGGCGUAGGCGACUAGCUGGGCUGUAACUGACGCUGAGGAACGAAAGCCAGGGGAGCGAAUGGG